GUGGAUUAGAUACCCCGGUAGUCCACGCCGUAAACGAUGAGUGCUAGGUGUUGGGGAGACUCAGUGCCGCAGCUAACGCAAUAAGCACUCCGCCUGGGGAGUACGACCGCAAGGUUGAAACUCAAAGGAAUUGACGGGGACCCGCACAAGCAGCGGAGCAUGUGGUUUAAUUCGAAGCAACGCGAAGAACCUUACCAGGUCUUGACAUCCUCUGACAAUCUGAGAGAUCAGACUUUCCCUUCGGGGACAGAGAGACAGGUGGUGCACGGCUGUCGACAACU
rnacentral:rRNA from 1 species